AUUGAACGCUGGCGGCAUGCCUUACACAUGCAAGUCGAACGGUAACAGGUCUUCGGAUGCUGACGAGUGGCGAACGGGUGAGUAAUACAUCGGAACGUGCCUAGUAGUGGGGGAUAACUACUCGAAAGAGUGGCUAAUACCGCAUGAGAUCUACGGAUGAAAGCAGGGGAUCGCAAGACCUUGUGCUACUAGAGCGGCCGAUGGCAGAUUAGGUAGUGGGUGGGAUAAAAGCUUACCAAGCCGAAGAUCUGUAGCUGGUCUGAGAGGACGAUCAGCCACACUGGGACUGGGACACGGCCCAGACUCCCACGGGAGGCAGCAGUGGGGAAUUUUGGACAAUGGGCGAAAGCCUGAUCCAGCAAUGCCGCGUGCAGGAUGAAGGCCUUCGGGUUGUAAACUGCUUUUGUACGGAACGAAAAGCCCCGGGUUAAUACCCUGGGGUCAUGACGGUACCGUAAGAAUAAGCACCGGCUAACUACGUGCCAGCAGCCGCCGUAA
rnacentral:rRNA from 1 species